CUCCAGGCAAACUCUCCACCCAUCCCAGUACUUCUGUGGGAUGGAAUUGGGAAGAAGAAAGGUCUGACAGGUUCCUGUGCUCACUGGCUACAUGGGUUCAGCCAGUGGAGAGACUCAGCUAAAGAACUGAGCCUGUAACAAUCCACAGAUGGACAAGUGAGUUCAGAGACGGACAGAGUUAAGAAGAAUGCAGAGUCUAUUGGAACUAGCAUAGACAAGUUUGUGGGAGAAGG
rnacentral:lncRNA from 1 species